rnacentral:rRNA from 1 species
CCUACGGGAGGCAGCAGUGGGGAAUCUUGCGCAAUGGGCGAAAGCCUGACGCAGCCAUGCCGCGUGGAUGAUGAAGGUCUUAGGAUUGUAAAAUCCUUUCACCGGUGAAGAUAAUGACUGUAGCCGGAGAAGAAGCCCCGGCUAACUUCGUGCCAGCAGCCGCGGUAAUACGAAGGGGGCUAGCGUUGCUCGGAAUUACUGGGCGUAAAGGGAGCGUAGGCGGACAUUUAAGUCAGAGGUGAAAUCCCGGAGCUUAACUUCGGAACUGCCUUUGAUACUGGGUGUCUUGAGUGUGAGAGAGGUAUGUGGAACUCCGAGUGUAGAGGUGAAAUUCGUAGAUAUUCGGAAGAACACCAGUGGCGAAGGCGACAUACUGGCUCAUUACUGACGCUGAGGCUCGAAAGCGUGGGGAGCAAACAGGAUUAGAUACCCUGGUAGUCCACGCCGUAAACGAUGAUUGCUAGUUGUCGGGAAGCUUGCUUCUCGGUGACGCAGCUAACGCAUUAAGCAAUCCGCCUGGGGAGUACGGUCGCAAGNUUAAAACUCAAAGGAAUUGACGGCUGAGACGNGCGAGCGACACGAGGGAGAG